AGUCUCUGGAGGUGGAGGCUGCUAAAUAUUCUAAAUUGACGGACCUAUUUGGUGCCGGGGUCACCACCCCAGCAGGUGCUGCUGCGCCGGGAGACGAGCGAGUGGAGGCAUACAUGGUUGUUCUGAUAUAUUUGAGGAGUCGUUCUCCCUCUGUUCUAUAUGUGGACUUGUUCUCUCAUUUGGGACCACUGUUAGAAUUUGGUUGACCACUUGACAUGUGAGAGCUUGAGGAGUUGUUCCCCCUCCGUCCAUGUUCGAGGACUUGCUCUCUCUCUGCCUCCACUCUCUGCCUUCACUGCACCAAAGUUUGGCUGUUGAGUCUCCUCUAGUAUGGUUGACCACUUGACAUGUGAGAGCUUGAGGAGUUGUUCCCCCUCCGUCCAUUUUCAAGGAUUUGCUCCCUUACUGCCUCCACUUCACCACUUUUUGGCUACUGAGAAGUCUAUGAUUAGUUGAGUAUGUCAUGUGUCUUAUAAUGUUAUAUGAAUUCAUACUUGAUUUGUGAUGAUGAGAGACUUAAUAAUGUUUCCAUGUCUCUUUUAGGUUGACCACCCUAUACAGUAUAUGAGAGCCUAAUAAGUUGUUUUCCCUCUGUCCCCUUUUGAGGACCUGCUUUGUCUCCUCCAUCAUUCACUGGGCCACUUUUGGGUUCCUGGGCUUAUUUCAUGUGGUUUUCCUGACCUGCUAGAAGUUCUUCUAUGAUGCUUGAGUCAUCCAUCAUAUCUGAGAGCUUCGUCUUGACUUUGUCACGAAUUUGGUGAGGAGUGGAGCUGGCUGGCUGCGGACGAGGAAGUAGAGCAAUACAUACUUGUGCACAUACACGUAUAUGCAGGGGUGAAAGUGGUUUGAAUUUCUUGCAGGUACUAUAAUGCUACCCCGACCUUCAUUGGUUCAUAUUGUUCUCCUCCCGCCCCCAGCUUCAUGCAUCCCUGAACACAAACUUCACAUUUUUAAUGCCUUUAUGAAGUAGAAAUUAGAAACACUUGACAAUAUGUGACCCGCUCUAUCGAAAUUAGUCGGAAGUCACAACGGCUCAUUUCAAAAUAAAUGUGGAUUUACGUAAAAAACAAUUUUUUUCGGGGUUCGGGUGUUUUGUUUGAUUUUAAACAAACAAAGGCUUGGCUUUCAGAAUAUGAAACUUUUAUUUCCAAAAUCACACGAUAAAUACAUUUUUGAAGCUUGUCAAGGGACGAAUACAGGCACCUCUCCCUCACAAUCUGCUCUUCCGCAGCGCCGCCCCCCUCCCUCCGGCUGAAAUUAUGAAAGAGUAUAGUAAUCAUAGAUAACACGGCAGGGUCCGUUACAGUUUGUUUUCAUCUGAUUUCAAUUAAACAAAGUCUUGGC